UACGAAAGGCGCAAGUAUUAAACAUAUGAUUUGGUGUAAAGUGUUUUUAAUUACCUUUUAGUGAGGUGGUAGGAUGGUAUAUUGUGUAGUAUACAAAAGUUUAAAUUUAUUGUUUAAGAAUGUAUUUUAUACCAUAUUACUAGAGUAAAGUAGAGGGCAACAGAAUAUCAUUUCAGUAUAGGGUAAAAUCUUGUGAUGAUAGAAUGCCAGUCGCGAAAGCGGUUGCCUGGGCUUUUACAUGACGUUUUAAAAAACGAAAAGCGUUUGGGGAGCAAACAAGG
rnacentral:rRNA from 1 species